CCUGGGUCGUAAUAGUUAUGUUCUUGAAACCCAAAGAAUUUGGCGGUAUUUUAUUCUUUUUAGAGGAACCUGUCCUAUAAUUGAUAAUCCACGAUAGAGAAACACUUACUUUUGUAUUCAUUUUGUAUACCUCCGUCAUCAGAGUAUCUUUUUAGAGUUAAUAUUCUAUUAUUACAAAAUAUAGUAUGUCAGGUCAAGGUGCAAUUUAUGAGUAAGUAGAGAUGGGUUACAAUAAAUUUAUUUAUAUGAAUUGUUAUUUUUAUUAUUAGCAUGAAGGUGGAUUUAAAAGUAAAUUUAUUUAUUUAAUAUAUUGAUUUUAGCUCUAAAAUAUGCACACAUCGCCCGUCGCUCUUAUUUUAAAAUAAGAUAAGUCGUAACAUAGUAGACGUACCGGAAGGUGUGCCUAGUAA
rnacentral:rRNA from 1 species